rnacentral:piRNA from 1 species
UUGUUUUGCAUAGUUGAAACA